rnacentral:rRNA from 1 species
AUUGAACGCUGGCGGCAUGCCUUACACAUGCAAGUCGAACGGCAGCACGGGAGCAAUCCUGGUGGCGAGUGGCGAACGGGUGAGUAAUAUAUCGGAACGUGCCCAGUCGUGGGGAUAACGUAGCGAAAGCUACGCUAAUACCGCAUACGAUCUAUGGAUGAAAGCGGGGGAUCGCAAGACCUCGCGCGAUUGGAGCGGCCGAUAUCAGAUUAGGUAGUUGGUGAGGUAAAGGGCUCACCCAAGCCGACGAUCUGUAGCUGGUCUGAGAGGACGACCAGCCACACUGGGACUGAGACACGGCCCAGACUCCUACGGGAGGCAGCAGUGGGGAAUUUUUGGACAAUGGGCGCAAGCCUGAUCCAGCAAUGCCGCGUGCAGGAUGAAGG